rnacentral:lncRNA from 1 species
GAAUCCUUGAGGAGGCCGUUCCAUCCAAGGAGGAGCACCAGCCCGAGGGGCCACAAAUUCCGAAGGUUGAGCUGCCACCGUUCCCGGAAGUGCAUCUGCCACCUAAGCCCGAGCUUCCCAAGGUGAAGCUGCCGCCGGUCCCGGAGGUGCACCUGCCACCUAAGCCUGAGCUUCCCAAGGUGGAGCUGCCGCCGGUCCCUGAGGUGCACCUGCCACCUAAGCCCGAGCUUCCCAAGGUGGAGCUACCGCUGGUCCCGGAGGUUCACCUGCCACCCAAGCCGGAGCUGCCCAAGGUGGAGCUGCCAACGUUUCCGGAGGUUCACCUGCCACCCAAGCCGAAGCUGCCCAAGGUGGACCUGCCACCGAAGCCCGAGAUGCCCGCUGUUCCCGUGUUCCACUUCCCAAAGACGG